GAUGAACGCUGGCGGCGUGCUUAACACAUGCAAGUCGAGCGAACAGAUAAGGAGUUUGCUCCUUUGACGUGAGAGGCGGGAGGGUGUGUAACAUGUGGGUAAACUACCUAAAUGACGGGAAAAACUUCGGGAAAAGGGCGCCUAUGACGGAUAACGUUUAGAACCGCAUGGUUCUAGAGUGUAAGAUGGUUUGGCUUUCACUCGUAGAUGGACCCGUGCCGUAUUAGCUAGUGGGUAAGGUAACGGCUGACCAAGGCAACGACACGUAGCCGACGUGAGAGAGUGAUCGGCCACACUGGAACUGAGACACGGACCAGAGUCCUACGGGAGGCAGCAGUAGGGAAUCUUAGGCAAUGGGCGAAAGCCUGACGCAGCAACGCCGCGUGAGUGAAGAAGGUCUUCGGAUCGUAAAGCACUGUUAUUAGGGAAGAACAAAUUUGUAUGGAAACGAGCAUCUCGUGACGGUACCUAAAGAAAAAGCCCCGGCUAACUACGUG
rnacentral:rRNA from 1 species